UUUUAAAAAUAGUUACCCAAACACCAAUUUUUUUAACAAACUCACUUCUAAGAUUUCUAAACUCACGUUUACGGCUCCCCACCACGUAACCAAACGAGUGCUUAGCUUUUUCAAAUCGAUUCUCUACUGUGGAAAUACACUAGCAUCUAUUUGUCUCUUUUGCCCUUGAAUCUCAACACUUCCUUUCACAUACCUUUUCAAAUCUGACAAAGCCCUUCACGGUGUCUGCAUGCUUUGUCAUGUUGUUGUAAAAAAAUAUGUUUGUACUGUUGCUGUGGUUUUUUCUUCUUCUGUGUGUUGCAAAUAAAUCUCAAGGUUGAAGAUGACACGUUUUUUGAGAAGAAAUGGUCUUUUGUCUUCUUGCUCUUUAAAAGCCCAUCAGUAUCAGGUAUCCAUUUAUUUUAUAGAAAAAAAAAUUCAUAUAUAACUACGAAUUUUACUAGUUACCAAUUACAUUUUUAAUUCCCUAAAAAAAAUACAUUUUUAAUAAUUUUAUAAAAUGCAACAUAAAAAUAACUAAAAAUGGAAAUGAAAGUUGUAGACAAAAAUAAACGAAAUAUAGUGUUGAAUGCACACAUAUAUGAAAAUCCAUUUUGGUCAUUUACACACCCAAAAGUAAUUUUGACACCAAAUAUCCAAACAAAAUCUUUCAUACAAAUAACUUCAAUUGUGAAGGUAACCAAACAUAAACCACUUUACAUUAAACUCACUUUUAACUAUA
rnacentral:lncRNA from 1 species